rnacentral:rRNA from 1 species
AAACUGCCCGUUUUAAAUGGGAGGAAGGCGGGGAUGACGUCAAAUCAGCAUGGUUCUUACACCUUGGGCUACACACGUGCUACAAUGGGGCGUACAGAGGGAAGCCAAACCGUAAGGUGGAGCAAAUCCUUAAAACGCCUCUCAGUUCGGAUCGAGGUCUGCAAUUCGACCUCGUGAAGCCGGAAUCGCUAGUAAUCGUGGAUCAGCCACGCCACGGUGAAUACGUUCUCGGGUCUUGUACUCACCGCCCGUCACGCCAAGGGAGCCGAUAAUACCCGAAGGUCCUAGUUCUAGGGACGAAGGUAGGAUUGGUGACAAGGGUGAAGUCGUAACAAGGCAUCCGUAGCGGAAGCUGUGGAUGGAUCACCUCCUUUCUAGGGAG